GCGUUGUCCGGAAUCAUUGGGCGUAAAGAGCGCGUAGGCGGCCCUGUAAGUCCGCUGUGAAAGUCAAGGGCUCAACCCUUGAAUGCCGGUGGAUACUGCAGGGCUAGAGUCCGGAAGAGGCGAGUGGAAUUCCUGGUGUAGCGGUGAAAUGCGCAGAUAUCAGGAGGAACACCGAUGGCGAAGGCAGCUCGCUGGGACGGUACUGACGCUGAGGCGCGAAAGCGUG
rnacentral:rRNA from 1 species